AUGGGGGUCCGACUAAGCCAUGCGAGUCAUGGGGCGCGCUCUGCGCGCACCGGCGGACGGCUCAGUAACACGUCGGUAACCUACCCUCGGGAGGGGGAUAACCCCGGGAAACUGGGGCUAAUCCCCCAUAGGCCUGAGGUACUGGAAGGUCCUCAGGCCGAAAGGGGCUUUGCCCGCCCGAGGAUGGGCCGGCGGCCGAUUAGGUAGUUGGUGGGGUAACGGCCCACCAAGCCGAAGAUCGGUACGGGCCAUGAGAGUGGGAGCCCGGAGAUGGACACUGAGACACGGGUCCAGGCCCUACGGGGCGCAGCAGGCGCGAAACCUCCGCAAUGCGGGCAACCGCGACGGGGGGACCCCCAGUGCCGUGGCAUCGCCACGGCUUUUCCGGAGUGUAAAAAGCUCCGGGAAUAAGGGCUGGGCAAGGCCGGUGGCAGCCGCCGCGGUAAUACCGGCGGCCCGAGUGGUGGCCGCUAUUAUUGGGCCUAAAGCGUCCGUAGCCGGGCCCGUAAGUCCCUGGCGAAAUCCCACGGCUCAACCGUGGGGCUUGCUGGGGAUACUGCGGGCCUUGGGACCGGGAGAGGCCGGGGGUACCCCUGGGGUAGGGGUGAAAUCCUAUAAUCCCAGGGGGACCGCCAGUGGCGAAGGCGCCCGGCUGGAACGGGUCCGACGGUGAGGGACGAAGGCCAGGGGAGCGAACCGGAUUAGAUACCCGGGUAGUCCUGGCUGUAAAGGAUGCGGGCUAGGUGUCGGGCGAGCUUCGAGCUCGCCCGGUGCCGAAGGGAAGCCGUUAAGCCCGCCGCCUGGGGAGUACGGCCGCAAGGCUGAAACUUAAAGGAAUUGGCGGGGGAGCAUACAAGGGGUGGAGCUGCC
rnacentral:rRNA from 1 species